AGUGAACGCUGGCGGUAGGCCUAACACAUGCAAGUCGAACGGCGGCACAGUAAGAGCUUGCUCUUACGGGUGGCGAGUGGCGGACGGGUGAGGAAUACAUCGGAAUCUACUUUUUCGUGGGGGAUAACGUAGGGAAACUUACGCUAAUACCGCAUACGACCUACGGGUGAAAGCAGGGGAUCUUCGGACCUUGCGCGAUUGAAUGAGCCGAUGUCGGAUUAGCUAGUUGGCGGGGUAAAGGCCCACCAAGGCGACGAUCCGUAGCUGGUCUGAGAGGAUGAUCAGCCACACUGGAACUGAGACACGGUCCAGACUCCUACGGGAGGCAGCAGUGGGGAAUAUUGGACAAUGGGCGCAAGCCUGAUCCAGCCAUACCGCGUGGGUGAAGAAGGCCUUCGGGUUGUAAAGCCCUUUUGUUGGGAAAGAAAAGCAGCAGGUUAAUACCCCGCUGUUCUGACGGUACCCAAAGAAUAGGCACCGGCUAACUUCGUG
rnacentral:rRNA from 1 species